ACGAACGCUGGCGGCGCGCCUAACACCUGCCAGUCGCACGGAGCUGAGAGAAGCUUGCUUUUCUUAGCUUAGUGGCGAACGGGUGAGUAACGCGUGAGUAACCUGCCCUGGAGUGGGGGACAACAGUUGGAAACGACUGCUAAUACCGCAUAAGCCCACGAUCCGGCAUCGGAUUGAGGGAAAAGGAUUUAUUCGCUUCAGGAUGGACUCGCGUCCAAUUAGCUAGUUGGUGAGGUAACGGCCCACCAAGGCGACGAUUGGUAGCCGGACUGAGAGGUUGAACGGCCACAUUGGGACUGAGACACGGCCCAGACUCCUACGGGAGGCAGCAGUGGGGGAUAUUGCACAAUGGGGGAAACCCUGAUGCAGCGACGCCGCGUGGAGGAAGAAGGUUUUCGGAUUGUAAACUCCUGUCGUUAGGGACGAUAAUGACGGUACCUAACAAGAAAGCACCGGCUAACUACGUG
rnacentral:rRNA from 1 species